UGUACCUAGCGCACAGAAGUGUACACAACUUUAGUGUGGUGAUUGAUAGGGAACAGGCCACGCCCACCAGAUGCUGUGUGUAGCAUUCAGCCAUCACCGCUUUUGGAGAAAAAUUUGAGCGACUGUAACUUGACGUGUGAAAGGUGCAGUGGACCAUUAGUAGACAUGUGGUCUCAAUGAUCCGAUCUCAUGUUGACAUAUAUAGGAAUCCUGCGCUGCACCUAAGCACACAGGUAGGGAGUCAGUAGGUGGGGGCAGGUGCCAGCUAUAUAUACAGCUGUGCGUAAUUGCUACAGGAACAUUGUGAGAGUCAGCAAGAAGGUCAUGGAGUAUCACACGACCAGCUGAGCUUUCACACUCACACACAGCUCGCAGCCACACCCUGCCAGAGGUCAGGGGUCAAGCUGGUCAACCGCAAUGGCAGAGCCUGAUCACUGACAUACAUACCCACACAGCGAACCGGAUAGCAUAGGGUUCGGUGACCAGAGGGUAUAUGAACAUCACCGCGAGAGAGUGUAUAUCUACCGUCGGCCUGUUGUGUGUGAGUGCCGCAUUGGAACAUGAGAAUGCAUAUCUCGUGGAGCAGCUAGCUACUUCUGUACAUCGUGAAGCUGCUGUGUUGUGCAUCAAAGGUGGAAGUGAGCCGCGCUUGAGUGCGAGAGCCGUGCGUGCAUCGGUGAAGACUGCAGCCGCGAUAGCAGAAUGCCACUGAAGGAGUUUUCAGUACUAAGCUUACGGGCGUACUCCCUGAUGG